UACAGAGGUCCCGAGCGUUGUUCGGAUUCAUUGGGCGUAAAGAGCGUGUAGGCGGCCCGGUAAGUCCGCUGUGAAAGUCCAGGGCUCAACCCUGGGAUGCCGGUGGAUACUGUCGGGCUCGAGUCCGGAAGAGGAGUGUGGAAUUCCUGGUGUAGCGGUGAAAUGCGCAGAUAUCAGGAAGAACACCAAUGGCGAAGGCAGCUCUCUGGGACGGUACUGACGCUGAGACGCGAAAGCGUGGGGAGCGAACAGG
rnacentral:rRNA from 1 species